UCCCAUGAUUUUCAAACUGGAACAAUGAUGGCUAUAUAGUUCCAAGACAGAACAGUGUGUGGAUUGGAGGGGAACUUACAGUGGUGGUAUUCCUAUGCAUCUACUGUCCUUCUCUUCCAGGUGGUAAAGUCUGCAGGUUUGGAAUGUACUGCUGGAAGACCUUUGGGAGAAUAAUGUGAAGAUUUAACAAGAGGAAGUACUGCAUCCACUGCUCCAACAGACCAAUGAACAGAGCUGUUACUAUGUGAUCAGUCUCUGCCUCAGAAUACAUAAUUGAACAUAAAUCAUCAUGAAGCCGAUAAUUUCAAGACUUGGAGCAACGGGUGCUUGCCAUGUUCCCAAGAAGUGACCCUCCAAUGAUCACUCCGGCCUCUACUUACAGUCCCAUGAUCAUCAUCAUCAACAAAUACUUCCACUCUACCAAAAUGCAAAUGAUCAGUGACCACAAAAACAAGAUAAAAUGCAGAUGAUUGUUCAUCUACCAGGCAUUGGACACGAUUCCUUGCUUUUGAUUAGACUUAUACUUGACCUCAUUAAGUGGCGAGUACUGAAUGAAAGGACGGCUCCUUGGAGACCAAAACCAUCUGUUUCAUGCUGUGUGGCCUCCAAGCUUACAACUGAGUGUCCUCAAGUCACUUUAAAGCGGUGAUGAGGCAAAUUGAGGAUAAAUCAUGGGAUCUCUC